CGUCCGUAGCCGGUCCGGCAAGUCUCUGGUCAAAUCUAACGGCUCAACCGUUAGGCUGCUAGAGAUACUGCCAGACUCGGAGGCGGGAAAGGUCGAGGGUACUCUCAGGGUAGGGGUGAAAUCCGAUAAUCCUGAGGGGACCACCAGUGGCGAAGGCGCUCGACUGGAACGCGCUCGACGGUGAGGGACGAAAGCUAGGGGAGCGAACCGGAUUAGAUACCCGGGUAGUCCUAGCUGUAAACGAUGUGGACUAAGUGUUAGGGCGGCCACGAGCUGCCCUAGUGCUGCAGGGAAGCCGUUAAGUCCCCCGCCUGGGGAGUACGGCCGCAAGGCUGAAACUUAAAGGAAUUGGCGGGGGAGCACCACAAGGGGUGAAGCCUGCGGUUUAAUUGGACUCAACGCCGGGAAUCUUAUCGGGAGCGACAGCAGAAUGAAGGCCAGGCUGACGACCUUGCCAGACAAGCUGAGAGGAGGUGCAUGGCCGUCGACAGUUCGUGCCGUGAGGUGUCCUGUUAAGUCAGGCAACGAACGAGACCCUUGCCAUUAGUUGCCAGCGGAACCCUAACAGGUUGCCGGGCACACUAAUGGGACUGCCACUGAUAAAGUGGAGGAAGGCAAGGGCAACGGCAGGUCAGUAUGCCCCGAAUCUCCCGAGCCACACGCGGGCUGCAAUGGCUAGGACAAUGGGUUCCGACACCGAGAGGUGAAGGUAAUCCCACAAACCUAGUCUCAGUUGGGAUCGAGGGCUGCAACUCGCCCUCGUGUACAUGGAAUCCCUAGUAAUCGCGUGUCAUCAUCGCGCGGUGAAUACGUCCCUGCUCCUUGCACACACCGCC
rnacentral:rRNA from 1 species